rnacentral:rRNA from 1 species
CAGCCGUAAACUAUGCGCGUUAGGUGUAUCGGUGACCACGAGUCACCGAGGUGCCGAAGGGAAACCGUGAAACGUGCCGCCUGGGAAGUACGGUCGCAAGGCUGAAGCUUAAAGGAAUUGGCGGGGGAGCACCACAACGGGUGGAGCCUGCGGUUUAAUUGGACUCAACGCCGGGAAGCUCACCGGAUAAGACAGCGGAAUGAUUGCCGGGCUGAAGACUCUGCAUGACUAGCUGAGAGGAGGUGCAUGGCGUAGACGUCU